AGGGGCGCAGGGUUUCACCAGGAUCAGGAUGGGUACCUGGUGUCCUGGCUUCCUCUCCUGCUCCCCGUGGCUGCCGGACAGGGCCUUGAACCUGGCCUUCCGGUGUAGCUGUCCCUACCUUUGCCUUCUGGGUUCUUGGCUACGUGCAAGUGGCUUUCUGCUUCAUUGGGGGGCGGGAGGGGUGUGCAGAUGGCUUCUUGAGGGGAUGUCUCACCCAGAGGCGAGAGAAGGACAUGGGUGGGCUUGCAGUCGAGGGCAGAAUGUUCCAGACACGAGAUUUUCUCAUCACUGAUGCCCCGAUGAGCCCUGCUCACAGCCCUGCCCCCACCCAUCUCCCCUCCCCGCCCCCCCUCCAUUCUGUCCUCUGUAAAAUGGGCUGAACGACCCCUAGGGCUCUUGUGAGAAGGACGACACUGCCAAGACCUGGUCAGACCUCAGCAGCUGUCCCUUCUCCUCCCUGCCGUCGUGAAACUCCUCUUGGAACCUGCGUUUCCCCUGCCCUGAUGUGCUCGUUGAGGUAUAAGCGCACAGACGUCAUCGUGCACAGUGAUGGGUUUUGGCAAGUGUCUGUGUCUGUGACAACUGUCCAGAUUGAGGAGGAGGACCUUCCCCAGAGGUCCCCCGCCCCCCGCAGCCUACACCUGCCCCCUCGAGGCAGUCACUGCAGAUCCAGUCGCAAGGGAGGAAACCUUGGGAGUGCAGAACGUUGCAUGCCCGGAAUCACGCCGUGUCUGCGUUCUCUCUGUCUGGCUUCUUCCCCUCGGCCUCCCGACUUUGAGAUACACCCGGGUUGUGUGUCUCGGGAGAGAUUCUGUUUUCUUUCUGAGCAGCAUUGCAUGGCGUGGAUGUACCGCAGGGCUGCAGUUUCAAACGGGGCCCAAGUUCCAUAAAAGGGCCCCGUGCACCAAGAAGAGCGACUGUCUGUGGGUGAAAUUCUAGGCACCUCCGAGGGGAAGAGGUUUUAUCAUCUGAGUCUGAGCCCAUAAAUGGGUCCUCGGGACGUGGGCAUCUGUCCAGCCCCAGCGCGGGGGACUCAGGGGUGAUGGCGGAGGCCUUGGCAACUCAGCAGGCUUGGCAUUGGCUUGGCCCCAUCAGCUGUUGAUGCCAGCCCGCCUGCCGGCUCACCUGGCCUCCAGNNNNNNNNNNCGGGUGACCCCAGACAGGUAUGAAUCAUGUCUGGGGGAGGUGGUUAGUCAGAGGCAGAGAACACCGAAGCCGAGUUCCUGCUGGCUGACGGUUUGGACCUCGGGAUGGAACUGUGUGCCGUGGGGGUGGGGGCAGGCCUCAUCAUAGAGGGUGCAGCUGGCGAUUGCGGGUCCCGAGCAUUCUCGAAAGAGGAAGCGGAUAACCGCAGAGUGGCUUCAGAGUUAGAGUGCCAGCUCAGAAUCAUGGCUCCAUCACUUACCAGCUUUGUGGCCCCCACAGCUCAGUUUUUCAUCUGUAAAAUGGGGAUGUUGGCAAGACAUUGGGGACUAUAGGUGACAACACAUGGCUCAUGACAGCUCUUUACUGGAUGCCAGGCUCUGUGCUGCAUCAGCUUUGCAGGGAGCUCCCGUUCCUACCCUUGGUUUCCAGAUGGGCAGACUGAGGCCCGGUGGACGGACAGCCCUCCUUGCCCAAGGGCACACGAUGAUAAUUGGCUGAGCUGGACCUGGAACCUCUUGAGGCUCCGUGGGUCAUUACCACGUGACCUUGGAAGUUCAAGAAGAUCAACAAGCCCGGAGCAAACUGGCAGCCUAGGAGAAAAUGUUGGAUGGUGUUCGGACAGGAGUUUCGCGUUUAAUAGUUAGCUUCUUCUGUUAAUGUGUGUUGAGUGUGAGUUAGGAUGAACGGAGCAGGCAGAGCGCCUCACUGAUUUCAUGAGUGUUGUUUAAAACAAGGCUGAGUAAGACAAGGUUGAAGAGUGAUUUUUAAAAAAAAUAUCUAGGAAAUUAAAUUCUUUUGAUGGAGGGUUUGGAAACGGCGGACGUCAGAAAGGCUGGCGAAGCGAUGUGGUUUAUAGGAUGCGCAUCCCAAGGAGAGUCCUCAGGGGUCUUUAGCCAGCAGUUCCAGGCUCACUGCGCCUCGUGCAGAACGGAAACACUCUGCGUUUUGCCCUCGAAGGUCGCCGGCCGUUUGAAGGUCGGGGUCAACUCAAUUCUAAUGAGAUCAAGGCCAGGAGGUCAGGCCCCGGGCAGGGUCCCCAGGGAAAAGUUCAUGGGCCGGAUGAACUUUAUGGAUGGGGGGCGGUGGGGGGGGACUCCCGUCCUUCCCCCAGACCCAGACUGCAGCUCCCGGCAGGUGAGGCUCCAGCUUUGCCCUCAGGAUGGCGCCCGUAGAAGGAGCCAACCCACUGUCCCCUGGAUCUCACGGCCUCCCCGCUGUUUGCAGGGAGGGCGCUGAGCCCGCAGUGUCGGCAACCUGCCCCGGCACAGCUAUGUGUCAGCUGGAUCUCUGUGUGUGUUUUAAUCAAGAUUUCUAUGUUCCUUCUUUGUAAUGGGAAGAAUCUGCUUAAUUUAAUUGCCCUGCGGUGCUUGGAAUGAUUUGAUAUUUUGCAGAAUAGGUCUCUGAUUUAUUAUGUCACCUCCUGAAGGCACCUUUUUGGCUCUGGGGAGAGGAAGCACCAUGCGAAGCAAGAGAAGCUGAGGGCCUCGGGUGUCCUGGCCCCAGCCCCGGCCUCACAGGGGCGCCCGGGCUCCUGAUGGGCACAUGUCCUCUGUCGGACGCUACACCCCAGGCCAUGCUGUCCCCACUGUCACCUGGUCACUGCUGGGACCUGGCCCAGUUUGGGGGGACGUUCGGCUGCUUGUCUGGCUCGGAGUUUGGCAGAGCUGUGCGUAUUUCUGCUAGUUGCAAAACAGUUCGCUUGUGACAGAUGGCGGGGGGCGCUCUUUGAAGACUCCCCCACUGCCCCGAUGUGGCCAGAUGUAGCCUCUCAGGGGGGGUGAGGCUGGUCUGGGGUGGGGUGGGGAGCCGGGCUUCUUCCUGAGCCCCUGUCUCCGAGACCGCCUCCCCCCUGGUCUCAGAUCCUGGGCCUGAGUCCAGAGGAAAGGGCAGAAAGGGGCUCGCCACCCACCAGCCUCACUCGUAGGGCAGCCGAGAGCUCACAGCGCGGCUCCCCAGCCCGCUCGCUCAUCCCUCAUCCGGGGCCUGCCUCCUACCUGACUCCCUGUCUAGGAAUUUUUAUUGCAGCCCACAGAGGCAUUGCAGCUUGGCUGGAAUGUGAAAGAUCUGGCCGUGCGGCCGGUGGCAGACACGCAGGUCCUGGCCCCUGGGCGGGAAUGCAGGGGCGGAGGCCCCCGCCUGCUCACAGGUGAGUGUGGCUGUCGUGGUUCUGCGGCUUCGGGGCCUGUCUGGCCUUUGCACCGGCUCUUUGUGCUCUGAUUCUGCCUGGUUGAUUCUGGGUGGAUUUUUGGUUUGACCACUUCCCCCGAGACCUCAGCCCACAGCAGAGACUAAGUCAACAGCGAACCAGGUGUGAAAGCAGGAGACGGGCCCUGAGAGUCACAGCACUUAGGCAGCCCUGCUGUGUCCCUAAGAUCGUGCCCUAGGACCCUCCCUGUGAUGGGGGUUCUCCCAGCGCCCCUGGCAGGACCCCUUAUACAGAUGCAGACUCGCUGAGCCCGAGAGGGCGCUGGCCUUAGUUAGUGAUCAUGGCUGGUGAGUCGCAGGACCGGGACUCAGACCUCAGCAGUCUGGCUCCGGGGCCACUAACUUAUCUGUGUGGGCUAAGGGCUCGGCCGAGGGUCAGUUGUGGCCCUUGCCCCUCGGUCCUGGGAGCAAUGGCAGCCCAGCGUUCCCAGAGCCCUGGCUUUCCUCUCUGCACCCUGCAGAGUGUCCAGGGAGGGGGGAGUGGGCAGAAGGACCCCAGGCUCCAGCUUCCGCAGGCCACCCCGUCUUGGGUGCCAAGCCCGUGGUGCCAGCCUCCCCAUGGGGUGGCCUUGGUCCUCGAGAAGUUCUUCCUGGCCAGGGGAGUGGCUGUGCCCAUCCCACAAGCUGGGAGAUCAGGCUUCUCUGCAGGGGCAGUGGGGGGGCGGGCUGGGCCCUCUCCCCUGGCUGCCCUGGGGUUAUCCACCCAGCCCCUGUGAUUCUGGGGUGGCCCGUGGCCUGCCCUGGAGGGCCACAGCCUGGAGUCCUUGGUAAGGCCAGGCCCAGCGAGCAGGGAGCGAGUGGCACCAGGGAGCAGAAGGCCUGGGCCCGACCCCCACAGCCUAGGAGUGGGUCCUUGGGGCUGCUUCUGCACGCCACCCUCUUUCCUCACCUGCGACAUGGGAAUGGCGCGGGUCCUCCCCUUUGUGGGGCUGUCGUGACAGAACGUAAGAGCUGCUUAGCCAAGUGAUGGGCGCCUCAUAGAUGCUCCUCAAAUGCAGCCUCUUCUUGGUUAAGACCUGGCCGGUAUUGAGGGGGAGGGGGCCACACCAGCCCCAGCGCCUGCCUGUGGGAAGGGAGGGCAGAGUGGCGGGGAAGCCCUUGGCUCCAGUGGGAAAAGUGAGCCAGGGCCUUGAGGCAUGAGUAGGAGUUCUGCCCCGGGCGAGGUUCCCCGGGAGAUGACAGGUCCAGGCACUCUGUCAUCUGAUCCCUGCUGUGGGCUCUGUUCACCCCAUUCCCCAGUGGAGAAAGUGGAGGCUCAGUUGUCCCAGGCCAGGCAGUGGGAGUGGCAUCGGAGCUGAGGCUGUGGGCACAGAUGAGGAGAGGGAGCCCCCGUGCUGUGUAUGUGUGUCACAGAUGAAACCUAGACCAGGAGGCGGGGGCCUGGGCCCAGCUGCCCUGCAGCCUCUGCCCGUCUCCACUGCGACUUACUUCAUUUUCCACAACAAAAGGGGAUUUCUUUGGGGAUAGGGUUGCCGAGAAAGGCGGACACACUUGAGGGUGGCCAAUAGGAAAUAAGAAAACUGGUGAAUGUGUUUCUGAGGUCCUACAGGCAAGGACCGGGGCUGGGAGCAUCUUUCUCAGUUUCCUCUGCUUUUCCAUCAGCUUUGUCAACCGGGGGUCCCCGUGGUAACACUGGAUCCCAUUUGAUCCCGGGCAUUGAUUCUUAACUUGGAUAUGGAACUGAAACAGAAAAUUCUCAACUUUUCCCUCGGGUGCUGGUCCAGAAACCCAGGGUAGGCCAGGAACUGGCAUUUUUAUCAGUCUUCUUUCAGGAGAUUCGGGUUCGAGAACCCUGGAGUCCCAGGUUCUAACCGGCUGGGGUACCAGCACUGAUGUCCAGGGCCGCCCCCAGGGUCCUGGGGGCCCAGGGCUGGCCUUGAAGGCUUUGUCCUCUCUCGGAGCUUUUCCUAGGACAGACGCAGGAGUAACCUCUGUACCCGUUUCUCCUGGCUUCUUCUGCCUCGGAACGCCCGUAGCCACAUGUAUAACAGCCCUGAAGAGAUAACGGUAAUUUCACGGUGAAAAUUGCCUGGCUUUUCUGAUCGUGAGAAGUGAUAUGUGCUCCUUAUUUAAGAAAAAUUCCAAGAAUUUGAUAAACGACCAAGACAAAAGUCUAAAUGCCUGCAAGCCCAUCACGUGGGGAUUAGUUUAUUUGCAGGCCUGUUUCCAGGCCUCUGCCUAGAAGGCUGAUCCAGGGCUUGCAGAGGUGGGUGCUGCCCUUCCCACCGGCAAUUUUGGGGAGAGGGAGAGGGACACAUCUCUGUCCCCUCCCUGGGACGGGGGCCUGAGGCUCACCUGGGGGUGUCCCGCUCAUCCCGGCUGCCCCGACAGCAGCCUGUCCCUUCACUCAGAUGGACCGGACCAAUGCCCGUUGGAGAGGCAGGGGCCGGGCCCCGCCCCCAAGAGGCACCCCCUUUUUUUUUCCCCCCCCCGCCACAGGGCCACGCAACCUCUCAUCUCCCGGGCUCCCAUCAGCGCUGCUCCUGUAUCCAUUUCAUACAUCGAGCUCCUGCGUCAGACUUUUGUUAAAUCCGAGAUCUUUGCUGGUAAAACUUAGC
rnacentral:lncRNA from 1 species